rnacentral:lncRNA from 1 species
GGGCGGGUCCGUGGGUCCGAUUUGGGUUUUGUUUGUUCGAAGGCUGUCUCCUAAGGAGCUGGCGUCUGCAAUCCAGCUGUAACUUCGAGGAUUAGUGACUGUCACUCUUCCAAUUCCUUUUAAAAGCGAGGCCCUGGUUAGGGAAAACCAAUAUGUUUUUCGUGGGUGCAGAGGUUUUGUUUGUUUUUGUUUCCUGUUUGGCUGAACUCAGUGAGAUCUGCUUUUGCCCCCGGAUUAAAGACCUGGGUCAGAUUUUUAUAGACAUUCUUGAACGUGGCAAAACAAACUCGGAAGCGAGCUAUUGCUUCCAGAGGCUCUCCUUGCCUUCUUUACAGACAGAUACGUGCUUUUUUUUUUUUUUUUUUAAUUUUGGAGUACACGACUUUAAUGCUCAAGUGCUGUAGUGUUACAUACUAAUAGGUACGUAAUCCUCUUCCCUCAGGUCACAGACUCUGCUGUCAUGAAGGUGAAAAUUAAGUGUUGGAAUGGUGUGGCCACUUGGCUCUGGGUAGCCAAUGAUGAGAACUGCGGCAUCUGCAGGAUGGCGUUCAAUGGCUGCUGUCCAGACUGUAAGGUGCCUGGUGACGACUGUCCCCUGGUGUGGGGACAGUGCUCUCACUGCUUCCAUAUGCACUGCAUCCUCAAGUGGCUGAACGCACAGCAGGUGCAGCAGCACUGCCCCAUGUGUCGACAGGAGUGGAAGUUCAAAGAGUGAAGCCUGCCAUGCCCACUCCCUUCUCCCAGCGCUGUGCCAGGCUCAGCCCCACCUUUCCCUUCCCCAGAUAGGGCAUCCCGAGUCCCCUCCACACAGCUCAGGGGUGCCCAGGGACCCCAUUCUGUGCUGGGGACAAGGAUGCUUUCUGUUUGGCUGAGACGAGGUGGAAACGAGGACUGGAGCUUUGCUGGGUGUUUUGUUUUUCCCAUCACAUUGACACUUUUAUUAAAUAAGUAAAACUCAUUAAAGUUCUGAGCCGCUGG